GAUGAACGCUGGCGGCGUGCCUAAUACAUGCCAGUCGAGCGAACGGACGAGAAGCUUGCUUUUCUGAUGUUAGCGGCGGACGGGUGAGUAACACGUGGAUAACCUACCUAUAAGACUGGGAUAACUUCGGGAAACCGGAGCUAAUACCGGAUAAUAUUUUGAACCGCAUGGUUCAAAAGUGAAAGACGGUCUUGCUGUCACUUAUAGAUGGAUCCGCGCUGCAUUAGCUAGUUGGUAAGGUAACGUCUUACCAAGGCAACGAUGCAUAGCCGACCUGAGAGGGUGAUCGGCCACACUGGAACUGAGACACGGUCCAGACUCCUACGGGAGGCAGCAGUAGGGAAUCUUCCGCAAUGGGCGAAAGCCUGACGGAGCAACGCCGCGUGAGUGAUGAAGGUCUUCGGAUCGUAAAACUCUGUUAUUAGGGAAGAACAUAUGUGUAAGUAACUGUGCACAUCUUGACGGUACCUAAUCAGAAAGCCACGGCUAACUACGUG
rnacentral:rRNA from 1 species